rnacentral:rRNA from 1 species
UUCUUCGGGAGGCAGCAGCAGGGAAUCUUGCGCAAUGGGCGAAAGCCUGACGCAGCAACGCCGCGUGGGGGAUGAAGGCCUUCGGGUUGUAAACCCCUUUCAGGAGGGAAGAAAUUGACGGUACCUCCAGA